rnacentral:rRNA from 1 species
AUUGAACGCUGGCGGCAGGCCUAACACAUGCAAGUCGAACGAGUGGCGGACGGGUGAGUAAUGUCUGGGAAACUGCCUGAUGGAGGGGGAUAACUACUGGAAACGGUCGCUAAUACCGCAUACCAUCAGAUGUGCCAAGAUGGGGUUAGCUAGUUGGUGGGGUAACGGCUCACCAAGGCGACGAUCCAUGGCUGGUCUGAGAGGAUGACCAGCCACACUGGAACUGAGCCACGGUCCAGACUCCUACGGGAGGCAGCAGUGGGGAAUAUUGCACAAUGGGCGCAAGCCUGACGCAGCCAUGCCGCGUGUAUGAAGAAGGCCUUCGGGUGGUAAAGUCCUGUCAGCGGGGAGGCGUUACCCGCACAAGAAGCACCGGCUAACUCCGUGCCAGCAGCCGCGGUAAUUC